GUAUGCUCGAUUUGUCAGCACUAAAAUUGGAAUGAUACAGAAAAGAUUAGCAUGACUUCUGCACAAGGAUGCCAUGCAAAUUCAGUAGCUCAACAGUGGUGGU
ensembl:snRNA U6 U6 spliceosomal RNA